UCUUUUAACUUGAGAAAACAAACUUGAAGGCUCUAUUCCUACUAGUUUAUGUGAGCUCAAGAAUAUCAGGUUAUUAGAUCUUUCUCAAAAUAAGCUUUCUGGAGGCAUCCCAUAUUGCUUGAAUAACAUCACAUUUGGGAAGACACAUGCACUAAGGGAAAACGAAAUAGGACAUUUUACUGUGUCAUGGACUACAAGAUUUUCAAAUUAUGAAUUUGACCCUCUAACCGGUGAAGUUUUCAUACCAGAAG